rfam:Phlebia centrifuga strain FBCC195 PHLCENscaffold_379, whole genome shotgun sequence.
GCCGGGAUAGCUCAGCUGGGAGAGCAGCAGACUGAAGAUUGGUAGGAUCACGGAUUCAACGAUGAUUUAGUGGGUUCUGACGGUCGCGUGUUCAAUUCACGCUCUUGGCA